CAUCCCCAGCCCUUUUCAUUUAUUUGAGACAGGAUCUCACUAAGUUGCUUAGGGCCUUGCUAAAUUGCUGAGGCUGGCCUUGAACUUGCUAUCCUGCUUCAGCUUCCUGAGUGGAUGGUAUUACAGGCAUGUGACCCUACUCCAGCUUUCACUUGUUAGCAAGGGCUGGAGAUAAUAGCUUCAUUGGUAGAGUGUUUGCCUCACAUGCAUAAGGCCUGGCUUCGAUCCUAGCACCACCAAAAAAAAAAAAGUUUGUUAGCAAAGCCCAUAUAUAUGGCCUGUAGUCUGAACCCCACCAAUGUCUGGAAAAGAUUUGGGGUGCUACUCGGUAAAAAAAAAAUGUGCACAAGGGCUGGGGUUGUGGCUCAGGGGUAAAGCGCUUCUUAGCAUGUGGGAGGCCCUGGGUUUGAUCCUCAGCACCACAUAAAAAUAAAUAAAACAAAGGUAUUAUGUCCAACUACAACUAAAACAAUUUUUUUAAAAAUGUGCACAAAAGUAAUUAGUCCAUGUGCUAUAUUUUCAGAAAGUUGAUUCUUAAUGCCUACAUUGUAUUCUCAAAGAAUCUAUUUGUUCCUGAGUUUCCCCCUUCUCCCAUUUCAGGAGGUAAUUUUAGGGCCUUGGGUGUACCCUACCUGCUUCACCUCUUCUCUGUUGCUGUUUGGCAUGGCAGUUUUCUUUGUAAUCUUUAUUAAAAUUUGCCUCCUUUCUCAGCACCUUGUUGAUGUCUGUUCUGGCUUCUUACUCUUACAAGUUAAAGAUGUCUCAGGUAGAGGUAUUUUCUCCUAAUCUCUCUUAAUGAUAUCUGUAUUUAAGUCUCCUUUUGUUUCUUGAUGGUGACUGUAUAUGUUUUUGGUACCUGGGAUUGAACUCUGAGCCACCUCCUCAGCCCUAUUUUUUAUUUAUUUAGAGACAGGGUCUGAGUGUUGAGGGCCUCAGUCCUCCUGUCUUAGCCUCCCAAGCUGCUGGAAUUAUAGGCGUGCACCACCACACCUGGCUGUGGC
rnacentral:lncRNA from 1 species